CAGCGCUCACUUUCGCUCUCUCUCUCACUCUCCCAGGAUGAGGAGGUUACCCCAGCGACUGCUCUCCCUGUGUCUGACCGGAGCACUGCUGCUGCCUCUGUGCUGGGGCGAUGAUGCUGAAGACGAUUUUAGCUAUACCACAACACCAGACUAUGACUACAACGCCACUUUUGAGUAUGAUUAUUACAGUAAUACCAGCAGUCUGAAUUAUGAAGUGUAUGAAGUUUUGAAAGACAGCAAAACAAGCCAAUCUGCUUAUCCAGAAGAUGGAACCAGGAGUAAGUCCCAAGAAACUAUCCUGCCAACGCUUCUGGUCAUCUUCAGUUUGUCUAUACACCAGCUAUAUCAACUGCUUUGAAUGGUACACAGACGUCUAUGGCUCUGAGCAGAGCAGGAAGUAUGGAUGGUCAGAGGGACUGAAAGGAGCCAUCUGUCUGAACAAAGGGACAGUUCAUCGAUGCUGUGCACAGCCAGACUGCUCACAGCUGGGAAAUCAGUGUCACUACCAAUACACCUAAAAUCUUACAUGUCCAAUUGUUGAACUGGUUGCAUCUUAUACCUACCUGUGCUUGACUUCUAACCCCCCCCUUUAUUUACUACUGUCAGACAGGCCAAGCUCUUCUGUAAUACGGUCUGACUUGGUCUACGAAACCAUCAAUGUGAGUUCAUUGAUUUUGGCCGAGUUUCAAUUGGCUGUAAAUUUCAUGAGGAAAUCCAUCUUCAUUCCCCUCCCUAUUCCCACUUCUUCUGUAGUCUACAUGGCCCUGAGCUCAAGCCCAGCUGUAUGCCACUGUUUAUGAACUGAAAGGCAAACACGUUUUCCAAAAUAUCAACUGCACUGCCACACAUGAUCUGCGGGAUCUUAUCAGGGAACAUCUAUUUCUGGGAUGCACUCUCACUAUGCCGUGUUAUGUAUGUCUAACAGUGUAUCAGACGAAAGUCAGAUAAGCCAGCCUCACAAGUGACAAUUGCACAUUGCCAUCUCUCUCCUUUAGCAUGUCAACAAUUUAAUCAAUAUGUAACAAAUAUAUAGAUAGU